CCUCAGCAUGGACUCAACACACGUUCUCUGAUGCGUAGCUGAAGAAAUAUCACCGGAAAGUUCACAGGAAAUAAGUGGCGGCGGUGCGUGGCUCUUGUUGAAUACCAAGCGAGAGGAGAUAAGAUGCCGGAACAUCCUGCUGCAGACUCAUCAGCCACCGACAACACCGUCACCGUCAAGCGUUAUGCCCCUCCCAAUCAGCGGAAUCGUUCACUCGGCAGGCGAAAAUCUGGAGAUCGACUUGAAAGAGCUAGCAGCUAUGCUAGUGAUGGAGAGAAGAACCAAAUGAGAGCAGCUAAGUCUGUAUCUGAUGCUGGAGUCAAUCGAGUAAAUGAUUAUCCUCCAACAAAGUUAAUACCGCUACAAGGAUGUUGUACAAGCGAAGCUUUUCAGCUACUAAAUGACCGCUGGGCAGCUGCUCUGAAUGCUCAUAAUAAUUUAUCAGAAGAUUCUCGUGAAAGGCCUGUAAUGUACACAAAAAGAUCACCUUGGGGGCAUCCUUUUCUUCCACAUCAAUUGAUGUCACAAGCAGGAGCUGAAUCUUCUACUGGCCAGAAGGAUUUUCUAAGCAAACUUCAGAUGGCUAUGCUCAAUACACAUGUCAAUUUCGAUGCCUAAAUGCUAUCCAUCAAGUGGUCAAAAACUAAGGAGUUUCAGAAUUAUUUGCAAUGCAAUGUUAAAUACCUGUUAUCAGCCGUCAUCAAUCCUGAAUAACUACUACGUAUUUAACCUGUUGAAAAAACUCUACUUGUGCAUCAUUUAAAAAUUGUAAUUCUGUACCUUCCCA
rnacentral:misc_RNA from 1 species